AACGCAGGACGCAAGCGUUAUCCGGAGUUACUGGGCGUAAAGCGCGGGCAGGCGGUUCUGCCAGUCUGAUGUGAAAUCUCUCAGCUCAACUGGGAGCAGCCAUUGGAAACUACAGAACUGGAGUCUGGCAGAGGUAGGCGGAAUUCCGGGUGGAGUGGUGAAAUGCGUAGAGAUCCGGAGGAACACCAGAGGCGAAGGCGGCCUACUGGGCCAGUACUGACGCUGAGCCGCGAAAGCCAGGGGAGCGAACGGG
rnacentral:rRNA from 1 species